rnacentral:rRNA from 1 species
AGGACGAACGCUGGCGGCGUGCUUAACACAUGCAAGUCGAGCGGUAAGGCUCCUUCGGGAGUACACGAGCGGCGAACGGGUGAGUAACACGUGAGCAAUCUGCCCUUCUCUUCGGAAUAAGCGUUGGAAACGACGUCUAGUGCCGAAUACGACCUCCUUUCACAUGAUCGGAGGUGGAAAGCUCCGGCGGAGAAGGAUGAGCUCGCGGCCUAUCAGCUAGUUGGUGUGGGUAACAGCCCACCAAGGCGACGACGGGUAGCCGGCCUGAGAGGGUGACCGGCCACACUGGGACUGAGACACGGCCCAGACUCCUACGGGAGGCAGCAGUGGGGAAUCUUGCACAAUGGGCGAAAGCCUGAUGCAGCGACGCCGCGUGGGGGACGAAUGCCUUCGGGUUGUAAACCCCUUUCGGCAGGGAGAAGCGCAAGUGACGGUACCUGCAGAAGAAGUCCCGGCUAACUACGUGCCAGCAGCCGC